AACGAACGCUGGCGGCAUGGCUAAGACAUGCAAGUCGAACGGACUGUGUAGCAAUAUGCAGUUAGUGGCGAAAGGGAGAGUAAUGAAUAGGUAAUGUACCUUGGACACCGGGAUAGCGCCGGGGGCAACCCCUUUGCGAAAGUGGCGAUAAUACCGGAUGAAGUCGUUGGGGGCAUCUUCCGACGACCAAAGGGCGGCCGCAAGGCUGCCGGUCUUUGAGCAGCCUAUUUCCUANCACCUAGUUGGCGAGGUAACGGCUCACCAAGGGGACGACGGUAGCGGGUGUGAGAGCACGAUCCGCCUCAUCGGGACUGAGACACUGCCCGGACACCUACGGGUGGCUGCAGUAACGAUAUUGGGCAAUGGGCGAAAGCCUGACCCAGCAAUGCCGCGUGCGGGAGGAAGU
rnacentral:rRNA from 1 species